AUUGAACGCUGGCGGCAUGCCUUACACAUGCAAGUCGAACGGUAACAGGUCUUCGGAUGCUGACGAGUGGCGAACGGGUGAGUAAUACAUCGGAACGUGCCUAGUAGUGGGGGAUAACUACUCGAAAGAGUGGCUAAUACCGCAUGAGGUCUACGGAUGAAAGCAGGGGAUCGCAAGACCUUGUGCUACUAGAGCGGCCGAAGGCAGAUUAGGUAGUUGGUGGGAUAUAAGCUUACCAAGCCGACGAUCUGUAGCUGGUCUGAGAGGACGAUCAGCCACACUGGGACUGAGACACGGCCCAGACUCCUACGGGAGGCAGCAGUGGGGAAUUUUGGACAAUGGGCGCAAGCCUGAUCCAGCAAUGCCGCGUGCAGGAUGAAGGCCUUCGGGUUGUAAACUGCUUUUGUACGGAACGAAAAGCCCCGGGUUAAUACCCUGGGGUCAUGACGGUACCGUAAGAAUAAGCACCGGCUAACUACGUGCCAGCCGCCGCUGUAA
rnacentral:rRNA from 1 species